UCAGACGACGAUCCGGUUAUU
ensembl:piRNA 21ur-3987 ncRNA